rnacentral:rRNA from 1 species
GAUGAACGCUGGCGGCGUGCCUAAUACAUGCAAGUCGAGCGAACGGACGAGAAGCUUGCUUCUCUGAUGUUAGCGGCGGACGGGUGAGUAACACGUGGAUAACCUACCUAUAAGACUGGGAUAACUUCGGGAAACCGGAGCUAAUACCGGAUGAUAUUUUGAACCGCAUGGUUCAAAAGUGAAAGACGGUCUUGCUGUCACUUAUAGAUGGAUCCGCGCUGCAUUAGCUAGUUGGUAGGGUAAUGGCUUACCAAGGCAACGAUGCAUAGCCGACCUGAGAGGUUAAUGGGCAACAGAGGACGGGAGCCACCGGCAAGGCUCCAACGGGAGGCAGCAGAAGGUAGUGUGCGGAAAGGGGCGAAGCCUUGAGUAAGAAACGCGGGGGGGGUGAUAAAGUUUUUCGGAUCGUAAAACCCUGUUUUGAGGGAAGAACAUAUGUGUAAGUAACAGUGCACAUCUUGACGGGCCCUAAUAAAAAGGCCACGGCUAACUACGU